rnacentral:rRNA from 1 species
UACGGAAUGUGCAAACGUUAUUCGGAAUCACUGGGCUUAAAGAGUCCGUAGGCGGCCUGUUAGGUGAGGUGUGAAAUCCCCCGGCUCAACCGAGGAAUUGCGCUUCAAACCGGCAGGCUUGAGGAGGAUAGAGGUGGGCGGAACUGAUGGUGGAGCGGUGAAAUGCGUUGAUAUCAUCAGGAACACCGGAGGCGAAAGCGGUCCACUGGGUCCUUUCUGACGCUGAGGGACGAAAGCUAGGGGAGCAAACGGG